GACGAACCGAGCGAACGUUAUUCGGAAUCACUGGGCUUAAAGGGCGCGUAGGCGGGCCUGAAAGGCAGGGGUGAAAGCCCCCAGCUCAACUGGGGAAGUGCCUCUGAUACUGCGGGCCUCGAGGGAGGUAGGGGCGUGCGGAACUUCCGGUGGAGCGGUGAAAUGCGUAGAUAUCGGAAGGAACACCGGUGGCGAAAGCGGCGCGCUGGACCUCUUCUGACGCUGAGGCGCGAAAGCCAGGGGAGCGAACGGG
rnacentral:rRNA from 1 species